rnacentral:rRNA from 1 species
AUCGAACGCUGGCGGCAGGCCUAACACAUGCAAGUCGAACGAGUGGCGGACGGGUGAGUAUUGUCUGGGAAACUGCCUGAUGGAGGGGGAUUACUACUGGAAACGGUAGCUAAUACCGCAUACCACAGGAUGUGCACAGAUGGGAUUAGCUAGUAGGCGGGGUAAAGGCUCACCUAGGCGACGAUCACUAGCUGGUCUGAGAGGAUGACCAGCCACACUGGAACUGAGACACGGUCCAGACUCAUACGGGAGGCAGCAGUAGGGAAUAUUGCACGAGGGGCGCAAGCCUGAUGCAGCCAUGCCGCGGGUCUGAAGAAGGCCUUCGGGUUGUAAAGUACUUUCAGCGGGGAGGCGUUACCCGAAGAAGAAGCACCGGCUAACUCCGUGCCAGCAGCCGCGGUAAUUC